GAAACCGUUCAGGGGUAAACCUGAGAAACCCAAAAGUUCGAACGGGGAGAUUCAUCGUCGAUGACUCUUUGUCGCUACUGUGGGCGAAGCCUCGAAAGGGGGUUCUCCUUAAUUGGAAUUCUGCCCCUGGGUGUUCAAAAGUGCUCGUAGACGUGCACUUCUCCCCUAGUAGGACGUCGCGACCCGUUGCGUGUCGGUCUACGGUCUGAGCGGUAAGACCGUUGCGUCGCCUCGUGCGUGCGCGACGGACCCUCGGUGUCCCGACCGGCUGCGCGACGGUAUUUUAAGACGGUAUCGGGCCGCAGCAGUCUUCGAACGUGCGUCGGGCCCUCCGCAAGCUCGGUCAGUUUGCCCUGUGGUACGGAUGAUAUUCCCGUUCGCGGGCCUGGCCAGCUGUUAGCAGGAGGUGUCCUCAGACUGGCCAAGCUUUGAAUUACCGGUCGGCGACGCUAUUGCUUUGGGUACUCUCAGGACCCGUCUUGAAACACGGACCAAGGAGCCUAACAUGUGCGCGAGUCAUUGGGAUGAGCAAACCUAAAGGCGAAAUGAAAGUGAAGGUCGUCCUUUGCGUCGACCGAGGGAGGAUGGGCGCUGCAAUAUGUGCUCCGCACUCCCGGGGCGUCUCGUUCUCAUUGCGAGAAGAGGCGCACCUAGAGCGUACACGUUGGGACCGAAGGGGGGGGGAAC
rnacentral:rRNA from 1 species